GACAGAAGAGAGACUAUGUGAGCUUGAUGACAGAAAAACAUAAAUGAUUCAUGUAGAACGGGACAGAGAACUAAGAUUUUUUUUUAAAAAAAGUGAAGAAACCUACAGGAACUAUCAGACUCCAUUAGAAAAGCCAACAUAAGAAUAAUGGGUAUUCCAGGAGGAGCAGAGUAUAUUUAAGGAAAUAAUAGCUAAGAACUUCCCAAACCUAGAGAAGGUUCUGGAUACGCAAGUCCACAAAGCUAACAGGAUACCUUAUCAUCUCAAUGCAAAAAAAGUUUCUCCAAAAGACAUGUUAAAAAUGUCAAAAGUCGGGCUUCCUUGGUGGCGCAGUGGUUGAGAGUCCGCCUGCCGAUGCAGGGCACACGGGUUCGUGCCCCGGUCCGGGAAGAUCCCACAUGCCGCGGAGCGGCUAGGCCCGUGAGCCGUGGCCACUGAGCCUGCGCAUCCAGAGCCUGUGCUCCUCAACGGGAGAGGCCACAACAGUGAGAGGCCCGCGUGCGGCAAUAAAUAAAUAAAUAAAUAAAAUAAAAUAAAAUAAAA